GGAUACAAGGACCUGUCGGAUUGUGAUUUAUGAAUAAGGUCUAUAAAUUCCCCCCAAAAAGUCUGAUCACAGGUUAUGCUCAGCCCGUUUAGGCGAGUGAGCUUGGGUAAUUGCACUUGUAUGGAAAAUUCGCAGCUGGGUCACCUGAGAUUUUGGGUCAGUCGAGGCGGGAUCUCACUUAGGCGGGCCAGCUUGGUUCACAUAGCAAUGCAAAGUGAAAUUUAGUAAUAGGAAAUACUAAUUAUGGGUUAUUCCAGAAAACAUCCA